AGUCAACCUACCCUAUGGACGGGAAUAAUCUCGGGAAACUGAGGAUAAUGCCCGAUAGAACACUAUGCCUGGAACGGCUUGUGUUCCAAAUGAUUUAUCGCCGUAGGAUGGGACUGCGGCCUAUCAGUUUGUUGGUGAGGUAAUGGCCCACCAAGACUAUUACAGGUACGGGCUCUGAGAGGAGUAGCCCGGAGAUGGGUACUGAGACACGGACCCAGGCCCUAUGGGGCGCAGCAGGCGAGAAAACUUUGCAAUGUGCGAAAGCACGACAAGGUUAAUCCGAGUGGUUCCUGCUAAAGGAACCUUUUGACGGUCCUAAAAACACCGUUGAAUAAGGGGUGGGCAAGUUCUGGUGUCAGCCGCCGCGGUGAAACCAGCACCUCAAGUGGUCAGGAUGAUUAUUGGGCCUAAAGCAUCCGUAGCCGGCUCUGUUAGUUUUCGGUUAAAUCUGUGCGCUCAACGUACAGGCUGCCGGGAAUACUGCAGAGCUAGGGAGUGGGAGAGGUAGACGGUACUCGGUAGGAAGGGGUAAAAUCCUUUGAUCUAUUGAUGACCACCUGUGGCGAAGGCGGUCUACCAGAACACGUCCGACGGUGAGGGAUGAAAGCUGGGGGAGCAAACCGGAUUAGAUACCCGGGUAGUCCCAGCUGUAAACUAUGCAAACUCAAUGAUGCACUGGCUUGAAGCCAAUGCAGUGUU
rnacentral:rRNA from 1 species